CGUCAAAUCAGCACGGCCCUUAUGUCCAGGGCUACACACGUGUUACAAUGGUCGGUACAGAGGGCAGCUACCUGGUGACAGGAUGCUAAUCUCGAAAACCAGUCUCAGUUCGGAUCGAAGUCUGCAACUCGACUUCGUGAAGCUGGAUUCGCUAGUAAUCGCGCAUCAGCUAUGGCGCGGUGAAUACGUUCCCGGGCCUU
rnacentral:rRNA from 1 species